UACGUAGGGUGCGAGCGUGUCCGGAAUUAUUGGGCGUAAAGAGCUCGUAGGCGGCCUGUCGCGUCGGAUGUGAAAGCCCCGGGGCUUAACCCCGGGUCUGCAUUCGAUACGGGCAGGCUAGAGUUCGGUAGGGGAGAUCGGAAUUCCUGGUGUAGCGGUGAAAUGCGCAGAUAUCAGGAGGAACACCGGUGGCGAAGGCGGAUCUCUGGGCCGAUACUGACGCUGAGGAGCGAAAGCGUGGGGAGCGAACAGG
rnacentral:rRNA from 1 species